rnacentral:rRNA from 1 species
UGAACGCUGGCGGCGUGCCUAAUACAUGCAAGUCGAGCGAACAGACGAGGAGCUUGCUCCUCUGACGUUAGCGGCGGACGGGUGAGUAACACGUGGAUAACCUACCUAUAAGACUGGGAUAACUUCGGGAAACCGGAGCUAAUACCGGAUAAUAUAUUGAACCGCAUGGUUCAAUAGUGAAAGACGGUUUUGCUGUCACUUAUAGAUGGAUCCGCGCCGCAUUAGCUAGUUGGUAAGGUAACGGCUUACCAAGGCAACGAUGCGUAGCCGACCUGAGAGGGGGAUCGGCCACACUGGAACUGAGACCCGGCCCAGCCCCCUACGGGAGGCAGCAGUAGGGAAUCUUCCGCAAGGGGCGAAAGCCUGACGGAGCAACGCCGCGUGAGUGAGGAAGGUUUUCGGUUCGUAAAACUCUGUUAUUAGGGAAGAAAAAAUGUGUAAGUAACUAUGCACGUUUUGACGGUACCUAAUCAAAAAGCCACGGCUAACUCCGU